rnacentral:rRNA from 1 species
AGAGUUUGAUCAUGGCUCAGAUUGAACGCUGGCGGCAGGCCUAACACAUGCAAGUCGAGCGGAAACGAGAAUAGCUUGCUAUUCGGCGUCGAGCGGCGGACGGGUGAGUAAUGCCUGGGAAAUUGCCNUGAUGUGGGGGAUAACCAUUGGAAACGAUGGCUAAUACCGCAUAAUANCUUCGGCUUAAAGAGGGGGACCUUCGGNCCUCUCGCUUCAGGAUAUGCCCAGGUGGGAUUAGCUAGUUGGUGAGGUAAAGGCUCACCAAGGCGACGAUCCCUAGCUGGUCUGAGAGGAUGAUCAGCCACACUGGAACUGAGACACGGUCCAGACUCCUACGGGAGNCANCAGUGGGGAAUAUUGCACAAUGGGCGCAACCCUGAUGCAGCCAUGCCGCGUGUAUGAAGAAGGCCUUCGGGUUGUAAAGUACUUUCA